UACAGAGGGUGCAAGCGUUGUUCGGAAUUAUUGGGCGUAAAGCGCACGUAGGCGGCUUCUUAAGUCAGGGGUGAAAUCCUGGAGCUCAACUCCAGAACUGCCUUUGAUACUGAGGAGCUUGAGUCCGGGAGAGGUGAGUGGAACUGCGAGUGUAGAGGUGAAAUUCGUAGAUAUUCGCAAGAACACCAGUGGCGAAGGCGGCUCACUGGCCCGGUACUGACGCUGAGGUGCGAAAGCGUGGGGAGCAAACAGG
rnacentral:rRNA from 1 species